UACGGAGGAUGCGAGCGUUAUCCGGAUUUAUUGGGUUUAAAGGGUGCGUAGGCGGUCCGUUAAGUCAGCGGUAAAAUUGCGGGGCUCAACCCCGUCGAGCCGUUGAAACUGUCAGACUUGAGUUGGCGAGAAGUACGCGGAAUGCGCGGUGUAGCGGUGAAAUGCAUAGAUAUCGCGCAGAACUCCGAUUGCGAAGGCAGCGUACCGGCGCCACACUGACGCUGAGGCACGAAAGCGUGGGGAGCAAACAGG
rnacentral:rRNA from 1 species